rnacentral:lncRNA from 1 species
UCGUAUCUGUUAUUGAUAUGAAAUCCCUUCAAAUUAAAUGCAAUUAUUUGUCAGUAUUUCGCUCGACUGAGAGUUGGGUAUGUUACCUUGAAGACCUUGAACAUAAUGAAGACGCGAGGGUGAAAUUUUUCUUCUCCCAUUGGACUCUUCAUAGUUGUAUGUUGUUACUUGGAGUAAACAGCGAUUCCAUUGUGAUUGUUGCGGACAAUGUCAGAAGUGUCGCCUUCAGGAUUGAGGCUGCUGGCGAUGUCGACGUUACAAUCCUGGUGAACAAAUUAUCCUACUAAAGUUUGUGAAUUCGUUUUGCGAUCGAGCGGCCAGCCACGUUGAUAAUCCGCAAUGUAAGUGUUGUCGAUGCUGGGACGUAUACUUAAGGAGUUGAGCUAGAGUCAGCGAAAAGAACCCAAAGCUUAAUCGACCUGAUUGUUCUUGUGCCUGUCAAGUUUGUUAGUGCACCAAGUGACCAGACUAUCAAUGAAACAGACACAGUAACAUAUGUCUGUAAUGUUAGUGGUGUUCCAGCCCCUGUCAUCAAGUGGCAGAAGGAUGGAGGAACUGUUGGUACAGGAGACAUGCUUAGCUUUCCAUUUACAGGAAUCAAUCAGGAUACUACUGGUGCUCAGCUGAUAAUGGCUUGAGUGUCACUGUCAAUCCCAGUGCGUACCUUAAUGUGCAAUAUUGCUGUCCAAUAGGAUGCCAAGAUAUUUGACAUGGUCUUCGCACUGAAGCAUGACAAGCCAAAUGGGAUGAGUUUUACAUCCUGCCCAACCAACACUACUGUACUACGUGGUAGGAACAUGGUGUUAAGCUGCAAAUCAGAUGCCAACCCUGUGCCACAUGUGUAUCACUUUUAUUUUAAUGGUACCUUUAUUGGUAUGGACAACUUGAAUGCACCUUUAGUAGAUGUUUUCCCAGCCACAACCUAUGUCAAAGAAGGAAACAACAUCGCACUGUCAUGCAAUACAUCUGGAAAACCAGCAUCUGUUAUAGCAUGGACUAAAGCUGGCUUAUUACAAGUUCUUUCUCACACUUCUCUGUUGUCAGUUGUCAAUGUGACCAGACCUGGGAGAGCAGACAACAUGAUCCAUUAUCGAUGUACAGCCAGUAAUGGAGUGGAGACACCAUCCACAGCCACAGUCAACAUCACUGUCCAUUAUUUACCAAAGGCUGUAGCUCUGCUAACAACUCCAGUCAAUACUACGGUGCUAUGUGAUAGUGCAGUGAUGCUGAAGUGUGGUGUGGAUGCCAACCCUGAUGCUUAUAUUUAUAACUUCUACUUUAAUGGCAACUUUAUUGGUAACUGAGCAGCUUUGGUGUGUUUAGCAUCAGUGUGACGGAAGAUGGAGAGUACACGUGUGUUCCUGAAAACACAGUAGGCAAAGGAAGCAAGGCUAAUGUCAGCAUCACUGCCACAGGACACAAGAAAGUCAGGAAACAGAAUUAAUUGCAACAUCAAAGUGGCUCCAUCAGUGCAUGUAUCAGUCUUGGUAGUGGUUAUAGAUUUCAUUGAGCUCUAAUGUAUCUGGUAAACCUGAACCCAGCAUAUCAUGGACAAGAAUUGGUAGUUUGGAUGUUCUCUCUAUUUUACCAGAUGUCAUUAACUAUUAAGAAUGUGACCAGACCUGGGAGAGCAGACAACGUGAUCCAGUAUCGAUGUACAGUCAAUAAUGGAGUGGGAACACCAGCUACAUCUGCAGUUAAUGUCACUGUUCACUUUCCCCCUGGUAUUGACCAUGCCCCAUCAGCUUAUCAAGUUGUAGAAGGAAGUGGGGUGACCCUGUUCUGUAAUGCUACUGGAAAUCCAAAGCCUGGCAUAACUUGGACAAAAGAAGGAAACAAUAGUGCACUGUCCACAUCAGAGACUCUUACUCUGACAAAACUGAUUAAAGAAGAUGAUGGGUUUGUUUAAAAAUGUACUUCAGCAAAUUAUGUGGGAUUAGCUCAAGAUACUUCCCAAGUUACUGUCUUUUACCCACCACAGCCUUCCAUACAACUUUGCCCUAGUCCAGUAACUGAAGGAGACAAUGUAACGUUAUAUUGUAAUGGGACUGGCAAUCCAUC